rnacentral:sRNA from 1 species
AGUAAAACACACAGUGGUGAAAAAUACACCGAUCCUUUCAAACUCGGUUGGAGAGACUUGAAAGGUCUGUAUGAGGACAUUAGAAAGGAACUGCUUAUAUCAACAUCAGAACUUAAGGAAAUGUCUGAGUACUACUUUGAUGGAAAAGGGAAAGCCUUUCGACCAAUUAUCGUGGCGCUAAUGGCCCGAGCAUGCAAUAUUCAUCAUAACAACUCCCGAUCCGAUGUCCAGUUUUCACAAGCUGAUUGCUGAGAAGGUUCUAGGCGGCGUCUGUUAAAAAGCAUUGCUUUCUGUUAAUUAGACAUGUGCAAGCCAGCCAGCGCACCAUAGCCUUAAUUGCAGAAAUGAUCCACACUGCUAGUCUGGUUCAUGAUGACGUUAUUGAUGAUGCAAGUUCUCGAAGAGGAAAACACACAGUUAAUAAGAUCUGGGGUGAAAAGAAGGCUGUUCUUGCUGGAGAUUUAAUUCUUUCUGCAGCAUCUAUAGCUCUGGCACGAAUUGGGAAUACAACUGUUAUAUGUAUUUUAACCCAAGUUAUUGAAGAUUUGGUGCGUGGUGAAU